CCUGGUGAAAUUAGCGCUGUGGAACCACCCGAUCCCAUCCCGAACUCGGAAGUGAAACGCAGCUGCGCCGAUGGUAGUGUGGCUCAAGCCAUGU
rnacentral:rRNA from 1 species